rnacentral:rRNA from 1 species
GAUGAACGCUGGCGGCGUGCCUAAUACAUGCAAGUCGAGCGAACAGACGAGGAGCUUGUUCCUCUGACGUUAGCGGCGGACGGGUGAGUAACACGUGGAUAACCUACUUAUAAGACUGGGAUAACCUCGGGAAACCGGAGCUAAUACCGGAUAAUAUAUUGAACCGCAUGGUUCAAUAGUGAAAGACGGUUUUGCUGUCACUAAUAGAUGGUCCCGCGCCGUAUUAGCUAGUUGGUAAGGUAACGGCUUACCAAGGCGACGAUGCGUAGCCGACCUGAGAGGGGGAUAGGCCACACGGGAACUGAGACACGGUCCAGACUCCUAAGGGAGGCAGCAGUCGGGAAUCGUCCGCAACGGGCGAAAGCUUGACGGAGCAACGCCGCGUGAGUGAUGAAGGUCUUCGGAUCGUAAAACCCUGUUAUUAGGUAAGAACAAAUGUGGACGUAACUAUGCACGUCUUGACGGUACCUAAUCAAAAAGCCACGGCUAACUACGUG